CGUAUAUAAUAAUUUAAUCCUAAAUAUUUCUGAUGAACAUAAACAUCACGUACAUGUAUUACUUGUGAGGAAAACCAUUGCUUUUAAAGUUUGGAACUAUUUUUUUUGCAGAAAAUGUGAUUUUUUAAAAGAAUAGCCAGUCGUACUAGAUAUUAAACCAACAUGUCGUCAGUCGAAGUGUCUCGGCAGCCACUCCACAACAGUCACAAUAGCUUCGGAAGUACAGAGGGUGACGGUCGUCUAACAGUAGCCAGCACAGUAUCAGGAUCCUUUUCUGUCAACUCAACCUACAGUCAUGGAACAGAUAGAUUUUCAUCUUUGUCCAGACUAAGUAGAGCCAGUAUCAAACUUAGAACCACAUCCAGCUUUCCCAGUAUUCUAAGUUUGUACGAACCUAUACAGGAAGGGAAGGUUUAUCAAGGUGAUCGUCAGAAGCCACCAUUCACUGAUAGAGGACCACAACGAAAGAAAGAAAAAGGAAAACCAAAGCGUUUUGCAAAAUCGAAAGAGUGGGGAGAGCAUCUGGAUACACGAUUCAAAACUGAGCCAGUUAGAUUAUCAAAGCCUAAUCGGACAAUACGAAUAGAAGCAGUAGCUAGAGAACAAAUGGACAAAUACGAUAAGUACAUAAAAGAACUGAAUACAAAAGUAGAAAAACAGAGAGAUCAACAAAGAAAGCGCGAUGAAGAGUUUGAAGAAAGACUAAAACAGUUAGAGGAAGAGGGAAAGAAGAAACAUAAAAUUGUGAAAAGACCAAAAGAACAAUUUGUUCACGAUCGUGAAUACGUUAGAAACCUGCCUAAGUCCAAUCUUUCUAAGAUGGUGCGAUUAUCAGAUGAUCUUCAGAAGAAGGGUAUAUUGAAAACGCCAUUAGAUGUAGACAAAUUUUGGAAAGAUUUUGGCAGAAAAAGUAUUGAUAAUACUGACAUUUUUAAACGUGACCCUUUAACAGAAGUACCAGAUAGCCGGCAUUGGAUCGGUAAAAAGACGACAUUACAAUCCCUAGACGAUAAAGCAAAGAAAAGAAAGCUGAAGAAAAUAUAUGGCAGUCAGGAUUCCAAUCCGUUACCCACAAUCCCUUCACGGAAGUCGAGGCAGAGGAAAGCAAAAUCUUCGGAGGGUAGUCGAAUGAUUGAUAAUCGAGUGUCUACUUGUGCUUCAUUUUAAUAUGUGCAUUAUUAUAGCAUAUUAUAAUAGGAUUGCACUGAAAUUUGUUACAAAUAUAAUGACAACCAUCAUAUUAGUUUCUUCUUAACAUUAUUAACGAGCGCACUUCACGUCUAAUAGACAUUUAGUUAAUGCAACGUCUAAUAAUAUACCAAAAUUAUACAAAUUUCAGUGUAUUUGAAAAGUCUACAUAAUUAUUUGCGAAAACAUUAAUCCUUUAUAAUGCACAUUUGAAAUGGAGUUCAGUAGAUACGAUAGGGCAAGAAGAAUCCUGGUACAAAAGGAUCUGACAAAAGUAAAAGUGCAUUUGACCCUAGUCCUGGACCAUCAGAAAAACAUUCGGAACUUACAACACCAUCUGAAGUGUGACUACCGCCUUUCACUUAAUACCCAUUUUUGCAUGAAAACGUUUUAUGUACAUAGUAUACCCAUGUAUAUUACUGACAUUUUUAUCAUUACAUUAUUCACAACCUGCAAUAAUUUCCUUUUCAUUUUUAUCUAUGUAACAACUUAUUGAUCACAUGAAUGACUAUAUAAAUAAUGCAGUUUUUCUUUCAUGAUAUUUGCUAUUGUAUUAUAUACCGAUGACGGCUCCAGCUCGGUAAAUGUCUAUGUUUCACCAUGCUAUUACGGUUUAUGAAACAUUUUAAAAAAGCUUUCAAUUAUUCCGAUAGGGGUCUUGCAGGAAUUUCAUUAUAUUUAAGGAUAAAGCAUGAUACUUGCAGGAUAUCAAUUCACAUGUAAUGAUAUCAUUGUGUAAGAAUUGUACUUAUCCGGGAAUAAGAAGAAAAGGUGCUUUUCCACAAAACAGAAAAAUCGUUUUUAAAUUUCGAUUUUGAAGUCCAUUUAUUGAAGAUAAGAAUAUAUUUAACUUAGACAGAUUCUUUAUGUUAUUUGUUUUCAUACGUCAAAUAUUUUCAUACCAUUCAUUUAAGAUUUUAAGUUUGAAUAUUUUUGAUUUGAAUUAAUCACAAAGAAUUUUUUAGGUGAGGUUUCAAUUGAUGUUUCGAUAUUUCGUUAACCUCAUUUACAAAAAAAAAGUUUUUCAAUUCAAUGAUUUUUUAAUUUUGGGGUUUCAGUAUGACGUGACAUACGUAAUUUCAAAUAACCACGAAAAAACACCAAUAUAUAUCCUCAUUACUAACCUUGAAUUUCAUUGUUAUUUAAAAGUGACUUUGAAUGUUUCAGUUUGCCGGUAAAGUUAUAGUAUUUUGUAUAUAUAUAUUAAUGUUAUUAAAUGAAACUCAGGGAACACACACUAUAUUUGUGUAUAUUCAUGGUUACAUGUUUAAAUGUGUUUGUCUGAUAAGGUAUUUUUUAUAACACAAAGCUACAGUAAAAUACGACAAUUUAAAAAAAUGAAUGAAUUGGAAUGACUAUUUCAUUGAAAAUGACAGUGGGUUCUUGCAAAGUCUGAGGAAUGCUUUCCAGUUAAUUUGUAUUUCAGCGAGAUAAAAUUACUUAGUAUUUAAAAAUCUCUAAAUCAUAUGAAAACGAAAGUAAUCCUCUAUGUAAAGGUAAAAUAUUAAACAAUGUGUCAGUUUUGUUUUAAACUAAUUUUUUUUCAUAUUAUAUCAUAAUGCAUGUACCUGCUCUGAAUAUCUAAACUGUAAUAUUUUAUGUUAAGAUUUGUUUUCAUUUUAACAUGAACAUUUUAAACAAAAUUUUUUUCUAGAAUGUAUUGAGUUUACAGGAAAUUAAAAUUGAUAGAUCAAAAUGUAAAUCCAAACCAACAAAAUGUAAAACAUGUGAAAAUAAAACUAAUUAAAACAUAUAAAGAUAAAACUGAUAUCAAGUGCAUUUUUCAUGUGCAUGUCAUGCAGUGUUUUGUAAUUUUUCAAUCACUUUAUUUGCUUUUAUGUUAUUCAAAUUAUUAUAUUAAUAUGGAAUUACAACACGUUGCAUUUGAAUAAAAAAUGUUUGA